rnacentral:rRNA from 1 species
GGCGUGCUUAACACAUGCAAGUCGAGCGGUAAGGCCCUUCGGGGUACACGAGCGGCGAACGGGUGAGUAACACGUGGGUGAUCUGCCCUGCACUUCGGGAUAAGCCUGGGAAACUGGGUCUAAUACCGGAUAUGACCAAUGGCUGCAUGGCUGUUGGUGGAAAGGUUUACUGGUGCAGGAUGGGCCCGCGGCCUAUCAGCUUGUUGGUGGGGUAAUGGCCUACCAAGGCGACGACGGGUAGCCGACCUGAGAGGGUGACCGGCCACACUGGGACUGAGACACGGCCCAGACUCCUACGGGAGGCAGCAGUGGGGAAUAUUGCACAAUGGGCGAAAGCCUGAUGCAGCGACGCCGCGUGAGGGAUGACGGCCUUCGGGUUGUAAACCUCUUUCAGCAGGGACGAAGCGAAAGUGACGGUACCUGCAGAAGAAGCACCGGCCAACUACGUGCCAGCAGCCGCGGUAAUACGUAGGGUGCAAGCGUUGUCCGGAAUUACUGGGCGUAAAGAGCUCGUAGGCGGUUUGUCGCGUCGUCUGUGAAAACUCGAGGCUCAACCUCGAGCUUGCAGGCGAUACGGGCAGACUUGAGUACUGCAGGGGAGACUGGAAUUCCUGGUGUAGCGGUGAAAUGCGCAGAUAUCAGGAGGAACA